rnacentral:misc_RNA from 1 species
ACUGCGCGUCGGAUGUGAACUGCAGGAUAUAUGAGCAUCGACACUUUGAACGCAUAUUGCGGAACGGCGCUUGUCGUCUUUCCAUGUCUGGCUCAGGGUCGGUUAUACAUCCAUCCCAAAUAGUUGAGCUCUCUUCAAUAUUUAUAUUGCUGAUAGCCCUCUAUUUUGGCAUUGAGCUCUCGCUGCAGCCUUGACUACAGCGUGGCUUUAAGAUUUGUUGCCUUACAAUCAGUGGCUCGUGCUGACUCUUUGGAUUUAUUCUCGAGUUAGGAAU